rnacentral:rRNA from 1 species
GACGAACGCUGGCGGCGUGCUUGACACAUGCAAGUCGAACGGAAAGGCCCUGCUUUUGUGGGGUGCUCGAGUGGCGAACGGGUGAGUAACACGUGAGUAACCUGCCCCUGACUUUGGGAUAACUUCAGGAAACUGGGGCUAAUACCGGAUAGGAGCUCCUGCUGCAUGGUGGGGGUUGGAAAGUUUCGGCGGUUGGGGAUGGACUCGCGGCUUAUCAGCUUGUUGGUGGGGUAGUGGCUUACCAAGGCUUUGACGGGUAGCCGGCCUGAGAGGGUGACCGGCCACAUUGGGACUGAGAUACGGCCCAGACUCCUACGGGAGGCAGCAGUGGGGAAUAUUGCACAAUGGGCGGAAGCCUGAUGCAGCAACGCCGCGUGCGGGAUGACGGCCUUCGGGUUGUAAACCGCUUUCGCCUGUGACGAAGCGUGAGUGACGGUAAUGGGUAAAGAAGCACCGGCUAACUACGUG